AUCAUUUCCGUAACAUGGGCAGCUUGACCUCCCUGUAACUAGGGUUUGAGUCUCCGAGGCCCUUUGGGUCUCCAUUAGCUGUUAGUGAGUGUGACUGCCCUGCAAUCAGGGUGCAAGUCACCUCCCCCUAAAUGUGGGGGGGCAUUGAGCUCUUUGUUAAACUGAGCAAUGUGACCCCCCUGUAACUAGGGCCCGGGUCUCUGCCCACUUGCUCAUUUGGCUUUACGCUGUGCUCUGCCCCAUUAGUCAGCGUGACAACCCUGUAAUUAGGGUCUAGGUCACAAGUUACUCUUAAAUGGGAAGAUAUGGAGCUCUUUGGUACUUUCACAGCUGGACCUUCCUGUAAUUCAGGUUAUGGUCUCUCCUAUUUGGCUAAUGUCAGCGACCACCCUGUAAUGAGGGGACAGGUAGCAAUUCGCAUUUGAAAUCUGGGGGAUUAGAAUCAUUUCCGUAACAUGGGCAGCUUGACCUCCCUGUAACUAGGGUUUGGUCUCUGAGGCCCUUUGGGUCUCUUGGCCUCGUGCUGUCUUCACAGCGUGCUGCGAAGGACCGCCCUGUCAUCAGGGACGGGUCUUUGCCCUCUAGUCUCUUGGCACUAGGUCAAAUGCAGCCACUGCCCCGAAUGAGCACCCUGUAAACAGGGUACAGGUCUCAUCAGCUGUUAUUUAUGGUGCCCCCAUGAGACUGUGUCCAGAGUUCCAGCCCAUUAAGCAGCGCUUGCAACGUGCCUGGAAUUCUGCAGCCAAGUCUCCUGCUUUCUGCUCCCUUCUUGGACUCUUGGAGACCUGACUUGCUAUUGGUGGCAUCGUGAAGCACAAGUGGAGAAGAAGGAAGUGUCAGGAAUGCCACAGACAGAGGAGAAAAGAAGAUGGAGGAAAAGGAAAGGAACUCUGGGCACAGUACCCUCCCUCAAAUCAGCCUCAGGUCAUGUAAUUAGACUGUAUUGGAAUCUCGAGCCUUUUAAUACCUUGAGCAGCGUGACCGCCCUGUAAGCUGGGUCCCGGUCUGUCCCCUUUGGACAUUCUGCUCCGUCAUCUGGCUAGUGUGCGUGACUGCCCUGUAAUCAGGGUGCCAGUCACCUCCCCCUAAAUGUGGAGGGGCAUUGAGCUCUUUCUUUAAUUGAGCAUUGUGACCGCCCUGUAACCAGGGUCCGGGUCUCUGCCCACUUGCUCAUUUGGCAUUACGCCGUGCUCUGCCCCACUAGUCAGCGUGACAACCCUGUAAUUAUGGUUCAUGUCACAAGGCUCUCCAGAAUGGGACAUAUCGAGCUCUUUGGUACUUUCACAGCUGGACCUUCCUGUAAUUCAGGUUAUGGUCUCUCCUAUUUGGCUAAUGCCAGCGACCACCCUGUAAUGAGGGGACAGGUUGCAUCUCGCUUUUGAAAUCUGGGGGAUUGGAAUCAUUUCCAUAACAUGGGCAGCUUGACCUCCCUGUAACUAGGGUUUGAGUCUCCGAAGCCCUUUGGGUCUCCAUUAGCUGUUAGUGAGUGUGACUGCCCUGCAAUCAGGGUGCAAGUCACCUCCCCCUAAAUGUGGGGGGGCAUUGAGCUCUUUGUUAAACUGAGCAAUGUGACCGCCCUGUAACUAGGGCCCGGGUCUCUGCCCACUUGCUCAUUUGGCUUUACGCUGUGCUCUACCCCAUUAGUCAGCGUGACAACCCUGUAAUUAGGGUCUAGGUCACAAGUUACUCUUAAAUGGGACAUAUCGAGCUCUUUGGUAAUUUCACAGCUGGACCUUCCUGUAAUUCAGGUUAUGGUCUCUCCUCUUUGGCUAAUGCCAGCGACCACCCUGUACUGAGGGGACAGGUUGCGUCUCACUUUUGAAAUCUGGGGGAUUAGAAUCAUUUCCGUAACAUGGGCAGCUUGACCUCCCUGUAACUAGGGUUUGGUCUCCGAGGCCCUUUGGGUCUCUUGGCCUCGUGCUCUCUUCACAGCGUGCUGCGAAGGACCGCCCUGUCAUCAGGGACGGGUCUUUGCCCUCUAGUCUCUUGGCACUAGGCCAAAUGCAGCCACUGCCCCGAAUGAGCACCCUGUAAACAGGGUACAGGUCUCAUCAGCUGUUAUUUAUGGUGCCCCCAUGAGACUGUGUCCAGAGUUCCAGCCCAUUAAGCAGCGCUUGCAACGUGCCUGGAAUUCUGCAGCCAAGUCUCCUGCUUUCUACUCCCUUCUUGGACUCUUGGAGACCUGACUUGCUAUUGGUGGCAUCGUGAAGCACAAGUGGAGAAGAAGGAAGUGUCAGGAAUGCCACAGACAGAGGAGAAAAGAAGAUGGAGGAAAAGGAAAGGAACUCUGGGCACAGUACCCUCCCUCAAAUCAGCCUCAGGUCAUGUAAUUAGACUGUAUGGGAAUCUGGAGCCUUUUAAUACCUUGAGCAGCGUGACCGCCCUGUAAGCUGGGUCCCGGUCUGUCCCCUUUGGACAUUCUGCUCCGUCAUCUGGCUAGUGUGAGUGACUGCCCUGUAAUCAGGGGGCCAGUCACCUCCCCCUAAAUGUGGAGGGGCAUUGAGCUCUUUCUUUAAUGGAGCAUUGUGACCGCCCUGUAACUAGGGUCCGGGUCUCUGCCCACUUGCUCAUUUGGCACUACGCCGUGCUCUGCCCCACUAGUCAGCGUGACAACCCUGUAAUUAGGGUCCAUGUCACAAGGCUCUUCAGAAUAGGACAUAUCGAGCUCUUUGGUGCUUUCACAGCUGGACCUUCCUGUAAUUCAGGUUAUGGUCUCUCCUAUUUGGCUAAUGCCAGCGACCACCCUGUACUGAGGGGACAGGUUGCAUCUCGCUUUUGAAAUCUGGGGGAUUAGAAUCAUUUCCGUAACAUGGGCAGCUUGACCUCCCUGUAACUAGGGUUUGAGUCUCCGAAGCCCUUUGGGUCUCCAUUAGCUGUUAGUGAGUGUGACUGCCCUGCAAUCAGGGUGCAAGUCACCUCCCCCUAAAUGUGGGGGGGCAUUGAGCUCUUUGUUAAACUGAGCAAUGUGACCGCCCUGUAACUAGGGCCCGGGUCUCUGCCCACUUGCUCAUUUGGCUUUACGCCGUGCUCUGCCCCAUUAGUCAGCGUGACAACCCUGUAAUUAGGGUCUAGGUCACAAGUCACUCUUAAAUGGGACAUAUGGAGCUCUUUGGUACUUUCACAUCUGGACCUUCCUGUAAUUCAGGUUAUGGUCUCUCCUCUUUGGCUAAUGCCAGCGACCACCCUGUACUGAGGGGACAGGUUGCAUCUCACUUUUGAAAUCUGGGGGAUUAGAAUCAUUUCCGUAACAUGGGCAGCUUGACCUCCCUGUAACUAGGGUUUGGUCUCCGAGUCCCUUUGGGUCUCUUGGCCUCGUGCUGUCUUCACAGCGUGCUGCGAAGGACCGCCCUGUCAUCAGGGACGGGUCUUUGCCCUCUAGUCUCUUGGCACUAGGCCAAAUGCAGCCACUGCCCCGAAUGAGCACCCUGUAAACAGGGUACAGGUCUCAUCAGCUGUUAUUUAUGGUGCCCCCAUGAGACUGUGUCCAGAGUUCCAGCCCAUUAAGCAGCGCUUCCAACGUGCCUGGAAUUCUGCAGCCAAGUCUCCUGCUUUCUACUCCCUUCUUGGACUCUUGGAGACCUGACUUGCUAUUGGUGGCAUCAUGAAGCACAAGUGGAGAAGAAGGAAGUGUCAGGAAUGCCACAGACAGAGGAGAAAAGAAGAUGGAGGAAAAGGAAAGGAACUCUGGGCACAGUACCCUCCCUCAAAUCAGCCUUAGGUCAUGCAUCUUGAAGCACAAGUGGAGAAGAAGGAAGUAUCAAUACCAAGGCAUGACUGUGAAUGUGAAAUGCAGAGACCUUAAACACACAAGUUCUAUAGAAUGAUUACUUCCUUUUAUUAAUAAGUCAUCAUUUCCUAUUGGAAGUGCAAGGAUGUGACUGAAGGGAAGCCAUAGAUUUUUAUUCUCCACUCACCCCCAAUUCUGCCCCCCAAACUCCUCAAAUAAAUUUAAGGUUCACAAAAUUAACAUUUACUCCAGGUAACGCCUAACUUGUGUAUUUCUCACACAUUUCUAAAAGGGAGCAAACAAAACUAAAUAUUCUGGCAUCUGGCAGUUACUUCCUGCACUUCACAACUUUCAAACACCUACUCUACUUAAACGGUCUCACCAACCAAAGUGUACCACACAAUCAAUAUUAACUUUGCACCUAUUUUGUCAGAAGUUAGUGUUUUUAGUAGUUGUGUCCAUUGGUGGACGUGGCAAUAGUGGUGUUUUAAUAAUCUUUUAUGCUGAUUGAAUUCAGAGGAUGAUGAUGUGGAUGUUUAGGUAGGUAUUUUUCUGUUAAGUCUUGGUAUUUGAGCAGAGGUGCAGUAUUUUGUGAUUAUGAUUGUUUUUCUGGUAUUGGUUUAGUGUUAAUUGUUGGCAAUUUUAGAUGUUUUUGUGUACUUACAUUAGUAGUUGUAUUUAGAGGGCAAAGCUGAGGUUGUCUGUUUGGUGCAAUUUGAUUGGUGUAAAAGUUAAUUUCGGGUAGGUGUUUGAAAGCCCUGAGCUUUGAAUUUGUAGCUCAACGGGGAUGCAGGACCCACCUGGCUACCUCAAUUCUAACUUUCAUUCCUAAUUCCAAAAUCUUGGAUGAAGAUGACCAUAUAAAGAAGAAUAAAGAUAUCUCCAGAGACUUUCAAGAGGAUAGCAUGUCUGCAGCUUUUCAAAGUGCAAUAAUUGUGGAAAACUUCUACUUCUGCCACUUAAGUGUUGAACAAUAAUCUGUAUUAAAGGAUUUACACUGGUAGUUAAUUCUGUUCUGUAUUAAGAUGAUUUUGCUAAAAUCACCACUUUAUGAUGUGUGAUAUGAAUUAACUAGGUCUGAUUAUACCUAUUUGAUAAAAGUUGGACUGCUCCAUAUUAAAUGCAUGGAUUGAACUUUGAUUGUCAUAUCACAUUGCUUUGCUUUCUGUAACUCCUUAUUUAUGAAUGUAUUUAUUACUCUUUAUGUCAUUC